GGCUCCAUGAUCGUACGCCAACAUUGGCAAUAUACGCUAUUCUGAGAUUUGUCAAUUGCUCUGCUGACAAAUUGAGAGAGAAUAUGAGAGCU